rnacentral:rRNA from 1 species
CCUACGGGGCGCAGCAGUGAGGAAUAUUGGUCAAUGGGCGCGAGCCUGAACCAGCCAAGUAGCGUGAAGGAUGACGGCCCUAUGGGUUGUAAACUUCUUUUAUAUGGGAAUAAAGUUUGGUAUGCAUACCAUUUUGUAUGUACCAUAUGAAUAAGGAUCGGCUAACUCCGUGCCAGCAGCCGCGGUAAUACGGAGGAUCCGAGCGUUAUCCGGAUUUAUUGGGUUUAAAGGGAGCGUAGGUGGAUUGUUAAGUCAGUUGUGAAAGUUUGCGGCUCAACCGUAAAAUUGCAGUUGAAACUGGCAGU